UUGUUGUUGUUGUUGUUAUUAUGUUUUGCUUUCGUUAAUGUCAUGUGUUCUGUUGUUGUUGGUGUUAUGUGUAGUCUUCCAUGUGAAAUAUCACAUAGAAGACUAAACAUAACAUCAACAACACCAAAACACAUGGCAUUAACGAAAGCAAAUGGAAGACAAUGGAAUUUUAG